rnacentral:rRNA from 1 species
GAUGAACGCUGGCGGCGUGCCUAAUACAUGCAAGUCGAGCGAACAGACGAGGAGCUUGCUCCUCUGACGUUAGCGGCGGACGGGUGAGUAACACGUGGAUAACCUACCUAUAAGACUGGGAUAACUUCGGGAAACCGGAGCUAAUACCGGAUAAUAUAUUGAACCGCAUGGUUCAAUAGUGAAAGACGGUUUUGCUGUCACUUAUAGAUGGAUCCGCGCCGCAUUAGCUAGUUGGUAAGGUAACGGCUUACCAAGGCAACGAUGCGUAGCCGACCUGAGAGGGUGAUCGGCCACACUGGAACUGAGACACGGUCCAGACUCCUACGGGAGGCAGCAGUAGGGAAUAUUCGGCAAUGGGCGAAAGCCUGACGGAGCAACGCCGCGUGAGUGAUGAAGGUCUUCGGAUCGUAAAACUCUGUUAUUAGGGAAGAACAAAUGUGUAAGUAACUAUGCACGUCUUGACGGUACCUAAUCAGAAAGCAACGGCUAACUACGUG